rnacentral:rRNA from 1 species
AUUAAAUCUUAUUAAUGUAAUUGUGGUUUUUAUAUAUUUAAGACGUAAAAAAAUUAUUUUUGAAAUGUGUUUUUUUAGUAGAGUGAAUCGAAAUAUCUUAUAAUAAAUUAUAGAUUAAAGUACUGUAAAGGAAAGAUGAAAUAAUUUGAAAAAUAUAUUAAUAAAUAGUAAAGUUAAAUACUUGUACCUUGUGUAUUAGGGAAAAUCAAAAUAAUCUUAGUAUUUAAAGAAUUCCCGAAAGAGAAAGAGCUAUUAUAAAUAUAUAGUUUUCGUAUUAAUGAAAUUAUUAAAUUUAUACUAGUAGUGAAAUGCUAAUCGUUUUUUCAUAUCUGGUUAUUGGUGAAUUAAAUUUAAUUUGAUUA